GAUGAACGCUGGCGGCGUGCCUAAUACAUGCAAGUCGAGCGAACGGUCGAGAAGCUUGCUUCUCUGAUGUUAGCGGCGGACGGGUGAGUAACACGUGGAUAACCUACCUAUAAGACUGGGAUAACUUCGGGAAACCGGAGCUAAUACCGGAUAAUAUUUUGAACCGCAUGGUUCAAAAGUGAAAGACGGUCUUGCUGUCACUUAUAGAUGGAUCCGCGCUGCAUUAGCUAGUUGGUAAGGUAACGGCUUACCAAGGCAACGAUGCAUAGCCGACCUGAGAGGGUGAUCGGCCACACUGGAACUGAGACACGGUCCAGACUCCUACGGAAGGCAGCAGUAGGGAAUCUUCCGCAAUGGGCGAAAGCCUGACGGAGCAACGCCGCGUGAGUGAUGAAGGUCUUCGGAUCGUAAAACUCUGUUAUUAGGGAAGAACAUAUGUGUAAGUAACUGUGCACAUCUUGACGGUACCUAAUCAGAAAGCCACGGCUAACUACGUG
rnacentral:rRNA from 1 species